UAGGGAAUAUUAGAAAUGGACGAAAGUCUGAUCUAGCAACACCGCGUGUGCGAAGAAGGCCUUCGGGUCGUAAAGCACUUUUUGGAAGGAAUAGGAAGGAAUGUACUUCCAGAAUAAGUCUCGGAUAACUACGUGCCAGCAGCCGCGGUAACACGAAGGAGGCGAACGUUAUCCGGAUUUACGGGGCGUAAAGCGCGUGUAGGUGGUUCGUUAAGUAGGGCGUGAAAGCUCCUGGCUCAACUGGGAGAGGCCGU
rnacentral:rRNA from 1 species